GAUGAACGCUGGCGGCGUGCCUAAUACAUGCAAGUCGAGCGAACAGACGAGGAGCUUGCUCCUCUGACGUUAGCGGCGGACGGGCGAGUAACACGUGGAUAACCUACCUAUAAGACUGGAUAACUUCGGGAAACCGGAGCUAAUACCGGAUAAUAUAUUGAACCGCCUGGUUCAAUAGUGAAAGACGGUUUUGCUGUCACUUAUAGAUGGAUCCGCGCCGCAUUAGCUAGUUGGUAAGGUAACGGCUUACCAAGGCAACGAUGCGUAGCCGACCUGAGAGGGUGAUCGGCCACACUGGAACUGAGACACGGUCCAGACUCCUACGGGAGGCAGCAGUAGGGAAUCUUCCGCAAUGGGCGAAAGCUUGACGGAGCAACGCCGCGUGAGUGAUGAAGGUCUUCGGAUCGUAAAACUCUGUUAUUAGGGAAGAACAAAUGUGUAAGUAACUAUGCACGUCUUGACGGUACCUAAUCAGAAAGCCACGGCUAACUACGUG
rnacentral:rRNA from 1 species